UACGUAGGGGGCAAGCGUUGUCCGGAUUUAUUGGGCGUAAAGAGCGUGUAGGCGGCCAGGUAGGUCUGGUGUGAAAACUCGAGGCUCAACCUCGAGAGGUCAUCGGAAACCAUUUGGCUAGAGUCCGGAAGAGGCGAGUGGAAUUCCUGGUGUAGCGGUGAAAUGCGCAGAUAUCGUAAGGAAGACCAGUGGCGAAGGCGGGUCUCUGGACAGUUCCUGACGCUGAGGCACGAAGGUCAGGGGAGCAAACGGG
rnacentral:rRNA from 1 species